rnacentral:siRNA from 1 species
AACGACUCAGAAUUUCACCAUGGG